ensembl:lncRNA
GGUCUUGCAGUGCUCAUUGUAAAUCUGGAUUCUCUUUCCUGGGCAGAGGCGGCCAUGCUGGAGGAUGAAUAGGCAGGAGGCUGUCCCGGGACGACCUCUGAACCCCUGAUCCCAGGGGGCUGCCCCCUACAUCCCAGCUGGAGCCAGCCAUGGAGCACCCCGUGGCCAGAGGGGCGCUGGCAGGGGGCGGCACCAGGCUGUCUGCCUCGGAGCGGAACAUCCGACGCCAGAGGCUCAUCGUGUACAGACCCUCCACUGAAAAGCAGAGCUCCCCCGUCCCCCGGGGGCCUGAGGAGAAGGCUCCCCCACUGUGCUGGCUGCCCCGGGGCAGGGCUGGGUCUCCUCAGGCAAGGCGCCAGUCGGAGAGGCUGCAGGGCAGACGGCAGCGGCUGCAGCAGGGGGUGCCUCAGUGGGGCCAGGGGGCGGAGCUGUGGCUGGUGGCCUCGCCCAUGGA